CUGACGUCGACAUCCAGUGAGUCUUGUCUCCUGGCUCUGUCGUGGUGGCGUAAGGGAGCGUAGCCUCGCGCUAAGAUGUACAUUCCCAUUCCACGAUGUCGGAAAAAAAGCUCCGUCCCCGACUGGACAGUCGGCGAGGACGAGCGUCCUGCAUAUUCCUAAACCUUCACCAGAGUCCUUCGUGGCCAUUACUGGGGAGGCAAACCAUGCAGUGCACAUUU